rnacentral:rRNA from 1 species
UACGGAGGGUGCAAGCGUUAUCCGGAUUCACUGGGUUUAAAGGGUGCGUAGGCGGAUAGGUAAGUCCGUGGUGAAAUCCUGCAGCUUAACUGCAGAACUGCCAUGGAUACUAUCUAUCUUGAAUGUCGUGGAGGUUAGCGGAAUAUGUCAUGUAGCGGUGAAAUGCUUAGAUAUGACAUAGAACACCCAUUGCGAAGGCAGCUAACUACGCGAUAAUUGACGCUGAUGCACGAAAAGCGUGGGGGAUCAAACAGG